rnacentral:rRNA from 1 species
UACGAAGGGGGCUAGCGUUGCUCGGAAUUACUGGGCGUAAAGGGUGCGUAGGCGGGUCUUUAAGUCAGAGGUGAAAUCCUGGAGCUCAACUCCAGAACUGCCUUUGAUACUGAGGAUCUUGAGUGCGGGAGGGGUUUGCGGAACUCAUGGUGUAGGGGUGAAAUCCGUUGAUAUCAUGGGGAACACCGAAAGCGAAGGCAGCAAACUGGUCCGCUACUGACACUGAAGCACGAAAGCGUGGGUCGCGAAUGGG